rnacentral:lncRNA from 1 species
UUCAUAUCCGUGUCCAUAUUGACACUUUAUUGUCAAAUUUUCUCCAUGAAUAAGCUAUCAUUUCACUUAAAAUAAGUUACCAUGUUAAUCCUUGCAUUUUAUACUUGAGAUCUGGGCUUUAUUUCGUGUUUUUUGAUGCACUAUGGUGGCCGCAUUUUGGUGUUGAAAUUGGAAGAAACACACUGUUUUCUGCGUAUUUGCAUGAACAUGGCGCUAGGGUUUUGGUUCCAUGAAGAAGACGAUCACGUGUCGUCUUGAGAGCCGUUGGAUCUGGCGUGUAUGUUUUAAUCUC